UGUGCAUUUCUUUUCCUUUUAGGUAACAGGUAUAGUAGGCAGAGCGGAUGUCCUUGCCUGUCUACUCUUUCUGUUGGCUUUUCUCUCCUAUAAUAGGAGUGUGGACCAGCUUUACGUUGGGGAACAUUUCCCUCCCACUGCCUCCCCAUUCUUUUUGCUGCUUAGUUUAUUCCUUGGGACGUGUGCAAUGCUCGUGAAAGAAACUGGAGUCACUGUGUUUGGUGUGUGCUUGGUAUAUGACUUCUUUUCCCUCUCCUGCAAUAGCUUCAAACUGAGGAAUGGGAGCACCCACACAAGACCUGUCCGGCAGCCUGCAGCUUCACUCCCUUCCUCACUGCCAGUCUCAUCUCGGGAGAAUGGAAAGCAUCGCUUCGCUCACAGGACUGCCUGGAGCUCCUGCCACCCCGAGGAGCCACGCAGCGGUGGCCUUCCUGUGCCCAGCAAAGCUAUCUGGGCUAUUCGCAGGUACUGCCUGUUGCCUGG